UUAAUCAAGAACGAAAGUUAGAGGUUCGAAGGCGAUCAGAUACCGCCCUAGUUCUAACCAUAAACGAUGCCAGCUAGCAAUUGGGUGUAGCUACUUUUAUGGCUCUCUCAGUCGCUUCCCGGGAAACCAAAGCUUUUGGGCUCCGGGGGAAGUAUGGUU
rnacentral:ncRNA from 1 species